ACGACGCUGCGGCGUGCCUAAUACAUGCAAGUCGAGCGAAUGAUAGGGAGCUUGCUCCCUUGUAUUAGCGGCGGACGGGUGAGUAACACGUGGGCAACCUACCUGUAAGACUGGGAUAACUUCGGGAAACCGGAGCUAAUACCGGAUAAUUUCUUUUCUCGCAUGAGAGGAGAUGGAAAGACGGUUUCGGCUGUCACUUACAGAUGGGCCCGCGGCGCAUUAGCUAGUUGGUGAGGUAACGGCUCACCAAGGCCACGAUGCGUAGCCGACCUGAGAGGGUGAUCGGCCACACUGGGACUGAGACACGGCCCAGACUCCUACGGGAGGCAGCAGUAGGGAAUCUUCCGCAAUGGACGAAAGUCUGACGGAGCAACGCCGCGUGAACGAAGAAGGCCUUCGGGUCGUAAAGUUCUGUUGUUAGGGAAGAACAAGUACCAGAGUAACUGCUGGUACCUUGACGGUACCUAACCAGAAAGCCACGGCUAACUACGUGCCAGCAGCCGCGGUAAUACGUAGGUGGCAAGCGUUGUCCGGAAUUAUUGGGCGUAAAGCGCGCGCAGGUGGUUCCUUAAGUCUGAUGUGAAAGCCCACGGCUCAACCGUGGAGGGUCAUUGGAAACUGGGGAACUUGAGUGCAGAAGAGGAAAGUGGAAUUCCACGUGUAGCGGUGAAAUGCGUAGAGAUGUGGAGGAACACCAGUGGCGAAGGCGACUUUCUGGUCUGUAACUGACACUGAGGCGCGAAAGCGUGGGGAGCGAACAGGAUUAGAUACCCUGGUAGUCCACGCCGUAAACGAUGAGUGCUAAGUGUUAGAGGGUUUCCGCCCUUUAGUGCUGCAGCUAACGCAUUAAGCACUCCGCCUG
rnacentral:rRNA from 1 species